CCUACGGGUGGUAGCAGUGAGGAAUAUUGGUCAAUGGACGAGAGUCUGAACCAGCCAAGUAGCGUGAAGGAUGACUGCCCUAUGGGUUGUAAACUUCUUUUAUAAAGGAAUAAAACGAGGCACGUGUGCCUUUUUGUAUGUACUUUAUGAAUAAGGAUCGGCUAACUCCGUGCCAGCAGCCGCGGUAAUACGGAGGAUCCGAGCGUUAUCCGGAUUUAUUGGGUUUAAAGGGAGCGUAGAUGGGUUGUUAAGUCAGUUGUGAAAGUUUGCGGCUCAACCGUAAAAUUGCAAUUGAUACUGGCAGUCUUGAGUACAGUUGAGGUAGGCGGAAUUCGUGGUGUAGCGGUGAAAUGCUUAGAUAUCACGAAGAACCCCGAUUGCGAAGGCAGCUUACUAAACUGUGACUGACAUUGAUGCUCGAAAGUGUGGGUAUCAAACAGGAUUAGAUACCCUGGUAGUC
rnacentral:rRNA from 1 species